CCUAUGUAACAACCAUUAAAAUGAAUCAAAUUAAUUCAUCUUUAACCUAAAAUGAAAACACAACUGGGUGUGUAUAUGUGUCAGUUUAUGUUUCUCAAAGUGGCAAAACAUGUAGGAUAUUGACAUUACCCUUAUGCAUUAUUUGAUUUACAAAGUCUGUGUUCUCUGGAAAAUUAUUUACACAUGCGCCAACAGGUCUAGACUAUAAAUGAAAAGAUGCAGGUGCUUCAAACUGAAGAGACACGACCGGAUCCUCCAUUUAUAUAAACAUCUGCAAUACUGUGGGCCGAGGGAAGCCGUUUAAUGCACAACCAAACAGCGGAUAGUGGCCUACUGUGUUUAAAUCUCACGUUUGUCGCUCAUCCAUCAAAAUGAACCUGCAGAUUCUAUCCAGACUUGUAAAAACGAACAAAUCUGUCACUAUGUCAAUAAGGUUCAAAUAAAUAUCUGCUAAUCAAAAGUCUCCUGCAUCUCAUUUGCACAAAACCUCUUUAUUCAAAUCGUCUCUUUUUAUUAACAUUAUACUACCAUCAAACUUUGCUUCGCCAACAUCAGCUAGCUACUGCGUCACAUCGCCCGGUGCAUUUAAACACAAAAACUCCUAAACAUUUUAUAAAAGUGGUAAACCUCAGCGCUCUUACGGAAUGACAGACUUGCAGACGGUGCAUUAAAAUAAUCAAGAAAAAUGACUACACUCAAAGGAAAUUCACAAAUGGUGCUAACAAGGUUGCUCGUUUUCCGAGCAAAAUCAUUUUAAUGCAGACACGAGAUUGGCGGAAAGGUGCCUGUGUACGAACGCGGAA